GGAUCGCGCGGAUCUUCAGAGAUUAGAGUUUGAUCAUGGCUCAGGACGAACGCUGGCGGCGUGCCUAACACAUGCAAGUCAACUUGACUGAAGGAGCAAUCUGACAGUAGAGUGGCGCAAGGGUGCGUAACGCGUAAGUAACUUGCCCCAAGGUAAGGAAUAACGUCGAGAAAUCGGCGCUAAUACCUCAUAAUGCAGCGGAUCCGCAUGGAUAUGUUGUUAAAGGUUUACCGCCUUGGGAUAGGCUUGCGUCUGAUUAGCUAGUUGGUGUGGUAACGGCACACCAAGGCUACGAUCAGUAACUGGUCUGAGAGGAUGAUCAGUCACACUGGAACUGAGACACGGUCCAGACUCCUACGGGAGGCAGCAGUGAGGAAUAUUGGGCAAUGCUCGAAAGAGUGACCCAGCAACGCCGCGUGGAGGAUGAAGGUAUUCUAUAUCGUAAACUCCUGUGAGAGCAGACGAAAGACAGAUUAUUAAUCUGGAUGACUGUAUGCUCAGAGGAAGCCCCGGCUAACUACGUGCCAGCAGCCGCGGUAAUACGUAGGGGGCAAGCGCUGUCCGGAUUCACUGGGUGUAAAGGGCGCGUAGGCGGGAUAGCAAGUCAGUGGUGAAAUCUUGCAGCUCAACUGCAAAACUGCCAUUGAUACUGCUGUUCUUGAAUGUGGAAGAGAGAGGCGGAAUUCCAGGUGUAGUAGUGAAAUACGUAGAUAUCUGGAAGAACACCAAUUGCGAAGGCUGCUUCUUGGUCCAUUAUUGACGCUGAGGCGCGAAAGCGUGGGGAGCAAACAGGAUUAGAUACCCUGGUAGUCCACGCUGUAAACGAUGAGUGCUAGAUGCCGGAUUUUUUCGGUGUCGCAGCUAACGCAUUAAGCACUCCACCUGGGAAGUACGAUCGCAAGGUUGAAACUCAAAGGAAUUGACGGGGGCCCGCACAAGCAGUGAGCAUGUGGUUUAAUUCGAUGCAACGCGAAGAACCUUACCUAGGCUUGAAAAGCUUAUGACCGGCUGUGAAAGCAGCUUUCCCGCAAGGGCAUAAGUACAGGUGCUGCAUGGCUGUCGUCAGCUCGUGCCGUGAGGUGUUGGGUUAAGUCCCGCAACGAA
rnacentral:rRNA from 1 species